GGUUGAUCUGUUUUGAAUAUCUGUGUCACAGAUGAACUCGAAUAUGUUCCCAUUGUCGCAAUCACAAUCCCCUCCUCCUGUCCGUGAUUGUGAAAUCAUCGAAUGAGAUUCAUCACUUACGACUGUCACUAGCUAGUGGAACAGAAUUUACAUAUCAUUUAAGAGCACCUAGCUGGUAUCGACCUUGUUUUUUUGGUUGGGUUCGUUUUGCUCAAAAUUUAGAUUUUCUUGUUUGUCUUUUCGUCGUUUUUAGUUUUUCAUCAACUUUUGAGUUUUCAAAAUCUCCAUCCUUUAAUUAGAGCUGGUAUCGCCCUUGUUUUCGGUGGGGUUCAUGUUGCUCAGUACGUAAGUUUCCUUGUUUGUCUUUUCGUCGUUUUAUGCCUACGGAUUGAUAGUUUUUUCGUCCACUAAUGAGUUUGCAAUGUCUCCUUGGUAUCGUUUGACUGUUGUUUUCAUAUAACAUAUAAAUGCAUCUCCAAAAUCUUAUUUUCAAAACGUUGAUUUCAAGUUUUUUUUUUGCAUUGUCCAACAGGUCCUUUCUGUCUAUAA
rnacentral:lncRNA from 1 species